rnacentral:rRNA from 1 species
UACAGAGGGUGCGAGCGUUAAUCGGAAUUACUGGGCGUAAAGCGUGCGUAGACGGUUACGUAAGUCGGGUGUGAAAGCCCCGGGCUCAACCUGGGAAUUGCAUUCGAGACUGCGAAGCUAGGGUGCGGAAGAGGGAAGCGGAAUUUCCGGUGUAGCGGUGAAAUGCGUAGAGAUCGGGAGGAACACCAGUGGCGAAGGCGGCUACCUGGACCAGCACUGACACUCAGGCACGAAAGCGUGGGGAGCAAACAGG